AAAUGAAUUGACGGGGACCCGCACAAGCGGUGGAGCAUGCUCUUUAAUUGGCUGCUAACCCAAGAACCUUACCCAGAUUUGACAUGCUACUGCAAACUCGGUGAAAGCCGAGCCUCUUUCGAAGGUGUAGCACAGGUGUUGCAUGGCUGUCGUCAGCUCGUACCGUGAGGCGUACCCUUAAGUGGGUUAACGAGCGCAACCCUUACUGCUAGUUGUAUCACUCUAGUGGAACUGCCGUCGUAAGGCGGAGGAAGGUGGGGACGAGGUCAAGUCGGUAUUGCCUUUAUGUCUGGGGCUAGAAGCAUGCUACAAUGGCACGUACAGCGGGAAGCAACAUAGCGAUAUGAAGCUAAUCUCUCAAAGCGUGUCCCAGUUCGGAUUGAAGUCUGAAAUUCGACUUCAUGAAGCCGGAAUCGCUAGUAAUCGUAGGUCAGCUAUACUACGGUGAAUACGUUCUCGGGUCUUGCACACACCGCCCGU
rnacentral:rRNA from 1 species